CCUGCGGAGGGAUCAUUAUAGAGUUUUCUAAACUCCCAACCCAUGUGAACUUACCUUUUGUUGCCUCGGCAGAAGUUAUAGGUCUUCUUAUAGCUGCUGCCGGUGGACCAUUAAACUCUUGUUAUUUUAUGUAAUCUGAGCGUCUUAUUUUAAUAAGUCAAAACUUUCAACAACGGAUCUCUUGGUUCUGGCAUCGAUGAAGAACGCAGCGAAAUGCGAUAAGUAAUGUGAAUUGCAGAAUUCAGUGAAUCAUCGAAUCUUUGAACGCACAUUGCGCCCAUUAGUAUUCUAGUGGGCAUGCCUGUUCGAGCGUCAUUUCAACCCUUAAGCCUAGCUUAGUGUUGGGAAUCUACUUCUCUUAGGAGUUGUAGUUCCUGAAAUACAACGGCGGAUUUAUAGUAUCCUCUGAGCGUAGUAAUUUUUUUCUCGCUUUUGUUAGGUGCUAUAACUCCCAGCCGCUAAACCCCCAAUUUUUUGUGGUUGACCUCGGAUCAGGUAGGAAUACCCGCUGAACUUAAGCAUAUCAAA
rnacentral:rRNA from 1 species